rnacentral:rRNA from 1 species
GUGUCAGCAGCCGCGGUAAUACGAAGGGGGCUAGCGUUGCUCGGAAUGACUGGGCGUAAAGGGCGCGUAGGCGGUUUGAUCAGUUAGGUGUGAAAUUCCUGGGCUUAACCUGGGGGCUGCACUUAAUACGAUCAGGCUAGAGUGUGGAAGAGGGUCGUGGAAUUCCCAGUGUAGAGGUGAAAUUCGUAGAUAUUGGGAAGAACACCGGUGGCGAAGGCGGCGACCUGGUCCAUUACUGACGCUGAGGCGCGAAAGCGUGGGGAGCAAACAGGAUUAGAUACCCCAGUAGUCC